CCGAGUUUACAACUCCCAAACCCAACUGUGAACCUUAACCUCUCGUUGCUUCGGCGGGAACGCCCCGGCUAGCCCGGACCCAGGCGCCCGCCGGAGACCCCUCAAACCCAUGUUAUCUCGUUUGAUAUCUGAGUGAAAACGCAAAAUAAAUCA
rnacentral:misc_RNA from 1 species